AUGCGAUUCAAUGAUGUAGAGAAAGCAAGGGAGUUUUAUAACAGAUACGCCAGACAUGCUGGUUUUGGAAUCAGGAAGACGGGUGGAAAUGACAACCACAAGUAUUUUGUUUGCGCCUUCCAAGGGAUACACACAUCUUCAGUUUCAGAGGCCAGCAGGAAGCAAAACAAAACAUCGCAGAGGACGGGCUGCAAUGCAAGAAUGAGGGUGAAGGUGCAGGAGGAUGGCACAUGUGUGGCAGUGGAUAUUGAGUAUAAUCAUAAUCACCAGCUCAGGCAAACUGAUGACAUGCUGGUGUUUUUGCACUCACACAAGAAUUAUGACCCCGCUAUUUUGGAUUACGUAAAGCUCUUGUAGUACCAUGAUGUCAAGCACACAACAAUCAUGUCCAUGGUAUCUGAAAAUGAAGAUGGAAGCUACUUCCUAAGCAUGACCGGACGAGACCUGCUAAACCAGAAAGCCAUGAAUGCAAGGAAAGAUGAUAUUGAUGACGUAUUGAAACUUGUUUCAUUCUUCAAAGACAUGAAGGCGAUAAAUGAUGAGUUUUUCUAUGACAUCCAAGUGGACAAGGACAAGUCAAUUAAAAGCAUUUUCUUGUCCAAUGCAAGCUGCCGAGGAGCCUAUCAAGACUUCGGCGAUUGCGUAACAUUCGACAAGACUUACAAGACCAACAGAUUUCAUAUGCCCCUGGGAGUGUUUGUUGGAACAAACCAUCACUUGCAGUCAACGAUAUUUGUUGUUGCCCUGAUAAGAGAUAAAGAUGCAAAGUCAUUCAAGUGGUGCCAAUGCCCAUCGAUGGCGAAAGCUGUACCACAAUCAUUUACAAACACCGUCCACAAGCUAUGCCGUUGGCACAUCUUGAAGAAGUACAGGGAAUACCUCGCGUUGCUGUACAAAAAGUAUAAAACAUUCAAAGAGGAGUUCACAACUAUAUUAAACUGGCCGCUGAUGCCAACGGAGUUUGAAGAUGCCUGGGCUAAACUCGUGCACAAGUACAACCUGGAGAACGACCAGAUGAUGAUGCAGCUCUGGAGUGAUAGGAAGAUGUGGAUUUCAGCAUAUUACAAGAACAUUUUCUGUGCUAGAAUGACUUCCACACAACCAAGCGAGAGCAUGAACCACAUGCUAAAGAAAGGAUUUGUCAAGGGGACCCAGAACCUACACAAGUUUGCUAGGCGGGUGAAUGCUUGCAUACAAACUCGGAUGCAGAAGGAGAACGAGCAAACAAUGACCAGCAUGACCAAUCCUAUGACAAAAACAACUUACGGCUACGAGGAAGACAUGUCCAUCAAGUAUACGAGAGCCGUGUACACUGAGAUGAGGAAUAGGAUGAGAAAGGCAACACUAUUGCGUGCAAAGCAUACAGCAGAGCCCACUAAGUACCUUGUGUACUACCACAACAAGCCUAUCCAUGAUGAUGAAGAAAGAUUUUCCUGGUUAAAGCAUGAAUUCCAGGUUGUAGCUGACCCAAAGAAUGAAAUAUACGAGUGUGAAUGCAAGCUCUGGACACAUACAGGUGAGCGAAAAAACAACCUCAUUAAAUAG
rnacentral:rRNA from 1 species